UCAAAUCAAAUCAAAGUUUAUUUGUCACGUGCGCCGAAUACAACAGGUGUAGACCUUACCGUGAAAUGCUUACUUACAGGCUCUAACCAAUAGUGCGAGAAAAAAAAGGUAUGUGUGUGUGUGUGUGUGUGUGUGUGUGUGUGUGUGUGUGUGUGUGUGUGUGUGUGUGUGUGUGUGUGUGUGUGUGUAGGAAAGUAAAGAAAUAAAACAACAGUAAAAAGACAUUUGAAAAUAAGAGUAGCAAGGCUAUAUACAGACACUGGUUAGACAGGCUUAUUGAGGUAGUAUGUACAUGCGGGUAUGGUUAUAUAAGUGACUAUGCAUAUAUGAUGAACAGAGAGUAGCAGUAGCUAAAAAGAGGGGUGUGUCAAAGCUGAGUGAUUCCUAUUGGAGGUUGUUGCGCUGCAAUUUGGCUGAAUAUAGGCCUAGAUACUUUGGAGAAGAGGAGACAAACUGUUGUUGCAAAGUGAACUGAUGCAUUUGACUUAACAAUGUUCAGUGCUGUGCAACGCCAGAACAACACGAUUAAUAAAACAGAGUCAAAAUUAUACACUGUGAACACAGAACACACAAUUCAUUGGUUGAAAUUACUGGAAAUCUAAACAUAGGCUGUAACAGACUUUUAAUAGAUAAAACAAUGUUAUUAGACGUUUAUUAAUUGUAUAUAAAUAAAGUAAAGUAAAUAGAAUGGAAUCCAUCCAUGGGUUGAGCUAUGUCUGAAGUCCUCCCUGCCCAGGCACGGUGCUGCUGUGAAAACCUGGCUGGCCCACCCCUAGAUGCAGUUGCUAGGCAACCACUCAUUAGCACCAUGGGUCCCAUUGUAGCACUGCUGACUACACUGACGUUAUCUCAAAUCAAAUCAAAUCUAAUUUUAUUUGUCACAUGCGCCGAAUACAACAGGUGUAGUAGACCUUACUGUGAAAUGCUUACUUACAAGCCCUUAACCAACAAUGCAGUUCAAGAAAUAGUGUUAAGAAAAUAUUCACUAACUAAAGUAAAAAAAAAAAAUAAUAAUAAUCAAAAGGUAACACAAGAAAAUUACAUAACAAUAAGGAGGCUAUAUACAGGGGGGAACCGGUACCAAGUCAAUGUUAGUCCAGGUAAUUUGGGGGGGUCAAUGUAAAUAGUCUGUGUGGCCAUUUGAUUAAUUGCUCAGCAGUCUUAUGGCUUGGGGAUAGAAGCUGUUAAGGAGCCUUUUGGUCCUAGACUUGGAGUUCCGGUGCCGCUUGCCGUGCGGUAGCAGAGAGAACAGUCAUUGACUUGGGUGACUGGCGUGUCAGGAAGCUUGGCCCCAGGGAUGUACACGGCCGUACGCACUACCGUCUGUAGCGCCUUACGGUCAGUUGCUAAGCAGUUGCCAUACGAGGCGGUGGUGCAACCGGUCAGGAUGCUCUCGAUGGUGCAGCUGUAUAACUUUCUGAAAUCUAUUCAGUCUCUUGAGGGGGAAAAGGUGUGUCGUGCCCUCGUUCAAACUGUCUUGGUGUGUUUGGACCAUGAUAGUUUGUUGGUGAUGCGGACCCCAAGGAACUUGAAACUCUGGACCCGCUCCACUUCAGGACUGUCGAUGUUAAUGGGGGCCUGUUCAUCCCCUUUUUCCUUUAGUCCACGAUCAGCUCCUUUGUCUUGCUCACAUUGAGGGAGAGGUUGUUGUCCUGGCACCACACGACCAGGACUCUGACCUCCUCUGUAUAGGCUGUCUUGUCAUUGUCGGUGAUCAGGCCUAUCACUAUUGUGUCAUCAGCAAACUUAAUGAUGGUGUUGGAGCCGUGCUUGGCCACGCAGUCGUGGGUGAACAGGGAGUACAGGAGGGGACUAAGCACGCACCCCUGAGGGGCUCCCGUGUUGAGGAUCAGCAUGGCAGAUGUGUUGUUGCCUACCCUUACCACCUGGGGCGGCCCGUCAGGAAGUCCAGGAUCCAGUUGCAGAGGGAGGUGUUUAGUUCCAGGGUUCUUAGCUUAUUGAUGAGCUUUGUGGGCACUAUGGUGUUGAACGCUGAGUUGUAGUCAGUGAACAGCAUGCUCACACAGGUGUAUUUUUGUCUAGGUGGGAAAGGGCAGUGUGGACUGCAAUUGAGAUUGUGUCAUCUGUGGAUCUGUUGGGGUGGUAUGCGAAGGGGUCUAUGGUUUCUAGGGUUUCUGGCAUGAUGGUGUUGAAGUGAGCCAUGACCAACCUUUCAAAGCACUUCAAGGGUACCGACGUGAGUGCUAUGGGGUGGUAAUCAUUUAGACAGGUUACCUUUGCUUUCUUGGGCACAGGGACUAUGGUGGUCUGUUUCUAACAUGUAAGUAUUACAGACUUGGUCAGGGAGAGGUUUAAAAUGUCAGUGAAGACACUUGCCAGUUGGUCCGCGCAUGCUUUGAGUACACGUCCUGGUAAUCCAUCUGGCCCCGUGGCUUUGUGAAUGUUGACCUGUUUAAAGGUCUUGCUCACAUUGGCUAUGUGUAAUCACACAGUCGUCCGGAACAGCUCGUGCUCUCAUGCAUGCUUCAAUAUCGCUUGCCUCGAAGCGAGCAUAAAUGGCAUUUUGCUAAUUUGGUAGGCUCGUGGCACUGGGCAGCUCACGGCUGGGUUUCCCUUUGUAGUCUGUAAUAUUUUUCAAGCCUUGCCACAUCGGACGAGCGUCAGAGCCGGUGUAGUAGGAUUCAAUCUUAGUCCUGUACUGAGGCUUUGACUGUUUUAUGGUUCGUUUGAGGGCAUAGCGGGAUUUCUUAUAAGGGUCAGAGUAAAGUCCUGCUCCUUGAAAGUGGCAGCUCUAGCCUUUAGCUCAGUGCGGAUGUUGCCUAGAAUCCAUGGUUUCUGGUUGGGAAAUGUACGUUCGGUCACUGUGGGGACGACGUCAUCGAUGCACUUAUAGAUGAAGCCAGUGACUAAGGUGGUAUACUCCUCAAUGCCAUUGGAUGAAUCAUGGAACAUAUUCCAGUCUGUGCAAGUAAAACAGUCCUGUAGUUCAGCAUCCGUGUCAUCUGACCACUUCCGUAUUGAGCGAGUCACUGGUACUUCCUGAUUUAGUCUUUGCUUGUAAGCAGGAAUCAGGAGGAUAGAAUUAUGGUCAGAUUUGCCAAAUGGAAGGCGAGGGAGAGCUUUGUAUGUGUCUCUGUGUGUGGAGUAAAGGUGGUCUAGAUUUUUUUCCUCUGGUUGCACAUGUGACAUGCUGGUAGAAAUGAGGUAAAACGGAUUUAAGUUUGCCUGCAUUAAAGUCCCCGACCACCAGGAGCACCGCUUCUGGAUGAGCAUUUUCUUGUUUGCUUAUGGCCUUAUACAGCUCGUUGAGUAUGGUCUUAGUGCUAGCAUCAGUUUGUUGUGGUAAAUAGACGUCGAUGAAUAAUGUAAAUGAGAACUCUCUUGGUAGAUAGUGUAACCUACAGCUUAUCAUGAGGUAUUCUACCUUAGGCAAGCAAUACCUCAAGACUUCUUUAAUAUUAGACAUCGCACACCAGCAGUUAUUGACAAAUAGACACACCCCCGCCCCUCAUCUUACCAGACGUAGCUGCUCUGUCCUGCAGAUGCACGAAUAAGCCAGACAGCUCUACAUUAUCGGUGUCAUCGUUCAGGCACGUCUCACUGAAACAUAAGAUAUUACAGUUUUUUUAUGUCCCAAUGGUAGGAUAGUCUUAAAACUUCUUUGGGCUAGGGGGCAGUAUUUUGAUGUCUAGAUGACAAGCGUGCCCAAAGUAAACUGCCUGUUACUCAGGCCCAGCAGCUAGGAUAUGCAUAUAAUUGGUAGAUGUGGAUAGAAAAGACUCUGAAGUUUCUAAAACUGUUAAAAUAAUGUCUGUGAGUAUAACAAAACUGAUAUGGCAGGUGAAAACCCGAGCACAAUCCAUCCAGGAAGUGGGAUUUAUUUGAUGUGAGUGGGUUUUCCAUUGAAUGCCUAUUGACUAUGUAAUGGGUUAGGGCCCAGAUUGCAGUUCCUAUGGCUUCCACUAGAUGUCAACAGUCUUUAGACAUGGUUUUAGGCUUGUUUUCUGAAAAAUGAAGAAGAAUGAGACCUUUUGGUCAGGGGACUAUGGAAUCAUGCAGUACAGGUUUGCGCGCGUAACUGUGUGUGCGCUCUUUGUUGUUUUUCCUUUCUAUUGAAUACGCUAUUGUCCGGUUGAAAUAUUAUCGAUUAUUUAGAUAAUUGACACCCUGAGGAUUAGUUAUAAACAUUGUUUGACAUGUUUCGAUUAACUUUACCGGUACUAUUAGGGUGUAUUCGUCUGCAUGUUUUGACCACCUUUGAGCCAGGGGAUUACUGAACAAAACGCGCCAACAAAACUGAGUUUUUGGGAUAUAAAGAGGGACUUUAUCGAACAAAGCAACCAUUUAUUGUGUAGCUGGGACCCGUGUGAUUGCAACCAGAUGAAGAUCUUCAAAGGUAAGUGAUUCAUUUUAUCGCUAUUUCUGACUUUCGUGACUCCUCUACUUGGUUGGAAAAUGUUUGUAUGCUUUUGUAAGCAGGGCGCUGUCCUCAGAUAAUCGUAUGGUAUGCUUUUGCCGUAAAGCCUUUUUGAAAUCUGACAAAGCGGCUGGAUUAACAAGAAGUUUAUCUUUUAACCAAUGUAUAACACUUGUAUUUUCAUGAAUGUUUAUUAUUACUAUUUCUGUAAUUUGAAUUUGGCGCUCUGCAAUUUCACUGGAUGUUGGCCAGAUGGGACGCUAGUGUCCCACCUUGCCCAAAGAGGAUUUAAUCGUAGAUUGUCCAGUUUGUUUUCCAAUGAUUGCACGUUGGCCAAUAAUAUGGAGGGAAGUGGUGAUUUACCUACUCGUCUGCAAAUACUUACAAGGCACCCCACCCUCCUUCCCCUUUUCCUUUGUCUUUUCUUCAUGCUGAUGAUGGAGAUUUGGGCCUUGUCUUGACAAAGCAGUAUAUCCUUCGCGUCGGACUCAUUAAAUAAAAAUCUUCUUCCAGUUCGAGGUGAGUAAUCAAUGUUCUGAUGUCCAGAAGCUCUUUUUAGUCAUAAGAGACGGUAGGAACAACAUUAUGUACAAAAUGAGUUACAAAUAAUGCGAAAAAACUAUCAAAAUAGCACAGUUGGUUAGGAGCCCGUAAAACGGCAGCCAUCCCUUCCGGCACUAUUAUAUCGUCUCUGCUCUCAUCUUUUUCUUCUCUCUCCUCUCUUUCUCAGUACUUAAGCAAAUUGUUACCUUUCCUGCCAGAGCAAUGUUUUUUUAAUAUUAUUAUUUUCAGUCGAUAAAGUCCUCUGAACUUGUCCUGUCCUGACAGAGCAAGUAGUCAAUACAGUCCAUAUUCCCUAAAAGCACAUGGAGCAGUGGGUAGGAUUUUGAUUUAUUUUAAUUUUACUAGGCAAGUCAGUUAAGAACAAAUUCUUAUUAUCAAUGACGGCCUAGGAAAAGUGGGUUAACUGCCUUGUCAGCUCAGCGAUUCGAUCUUGCAACCUUUGGUUGCUAGUCCAACGCUCUAACCACUAGGCUACCUGUCACCCCAAAGGCUGUUGGUUUCAGAUGAGGAUACAUAGAGAAAGGAAGGCAAGUCAGUGGUUCCAGUACCUAGCAGUCCACUGUAGGGCUUGCACAUGUAAUUCCAGUGUGAAUGCAGGACCCCUAUUUAUCUCUCCUGAAAAGGAAAAAGGUUAGCACUUGCAAUUUACAACAACUGUUAUAUUUCAAAAAUGUUUCCUUCUGUUUACAAAAAUACCAGUUUUUCUUCCCAUACAAAAUAACACAGUUCCCAAAACAUGGCCCACGUCUCAAUGCAUAGAAUAUAAAACAGUCACAAUUUACAGACCCACAUACUUCAGGGGGUUUAAGGUCCCAGUCCCAAUGACAACGUUCUGUGGUAGUGGCUAAGAUCUCCUGUGGAAUGGCAUUAAAUCUUUUGACUUGCCCGUCAGAUUGCCGUCUGAAAGGGGUUGUGAGAGUCUUCUCGAUUCCUAACAGUUCACGCAUUCUUUGGAAGACUUCUGAUUUGAAGUUGGAGCCUUGGUCGCUGUGGAGUGUCUGUGGGGCUCCAUAGCGACACACCCAUUCAGCUGUCAGAACUUCUGCCACUGUUGCGGCUUGAUAGUUGGGUAGAGGGUAGGCUUCCACCCACUUUGUGAAAUAGUAUUGAACCACCAAUAUGUAGCGAUUCUAGCAUUCUGUCUUGUUCAUGGGGCGAUCCUCUCCAUAGGUGCUUGGGGCUUCGUCGAAGGUCUGGCUUUAGCGGCACAGCUGGUACAUGUACGACACCAUAGUGUGACAUCCUCUCUCAUUCGGUACCAGUAGUAUCUUGUCUGCAGCCGGGCAAGUGUUCGUUCCACGCCAAAGUGACUGGUUACUGGGCCGUCAUGCAUCUGCUUCAUUCUGUCCGUCCGGAACACAUGAGGUAGUAUCUGUCGGUAUAUCCUGCCUGGUUGGCCCUGUCCAGUUUCAACUAUUCUGCCUGCAGCUAUGGAACCCUGACCUGUUCACCGGGCGUGCUACCUUGUCCCGUACCUGCUGUUUUCGACUCUCUCUCUCUACCGCACCUGCUGUCUCUAACUCUGAAUGAUCGGCUAUGAAAAGCCAACUGACAUUUACUCCUGAGGUGCUGACCUGUUGCACCCUCUACAACCACUGUGAUUAUUAUUAUUAUUUGACCCUGCUGGUCAUCUAUGAACGUUUGAACAUCUUGGCCAUGUACCAUUAUAAUCUCAACCCGGCACAGCCAGAAGAGGACUGGCCACCCCUCAGAGCCUGGUUCCUCUCUAGGUUUCUUCUUAGGUUCAUGCCUUUCUAGGGAGUUUUUCCUAGCCACGUGCUUCUACACCUGCAUUGCUUGCUGUAUGGGGUUUUAGGCUGGGUUUCUGUAUAGCACUUUGUGACAUCGGCUGAUGUAAAAAAUUACUUUAUAAAUACAUUUGAUUGAUUGAUUGAUUCCACAGUGUAAUCAGUUAUGCUGGGGCCGAGGUCACACUGCACUUCCUGGUGCCUGCAAUGGUCAUUGUUCUGGGUAGGGUCCUGUACAGUGCAGGGGCAAGUCUGGCGGCGUCACGCAGAGAGGAAACGUUGCAAAGACCCUGGUGAGGCAACGCUUUUCUUCAGGCGUUGUCGGUUCCGUCAUCAGACGAAGGAGGUGCAAGCAUGAUGACACCGAUUCAGUUAAUUGUCACUUAGAAUGGCAUAAUUUCAAUAAAUGUGACCCAUCCAUUUCAUAAUGAUAAAUGAUGAAUUGUGUAUCUGUAUCUGAUGUUAUGUUAUGGUUCAAAUUGGCUAUCGAUAACGCCGCUCAUCUCUCUCAUCACAUCAGACUCGACAUGUUGAAUGUAAAAAGGGCUUUGAUGUAAAAAGGGCUUUAUAAAUACAUUUGAUUGAUUGAUUCCACCUCGUAAUCAGCUAUGCUGGGACCGAGGCCACACUGCACUUCCUGGUGCCUGAAACAGUCAUUGUUCUGGGUUUGGUCCUGUAUAGUGCAGGAGCAAGUCUGGCGGCAGGGCCUCCUGAACAGGACGUUAGCAUUUUCGUGGUGGCGUCCUGAACGAUGUAAGUUAUACUCCCCAAACUUCUCGAGCCACUUCGCCAGUUGACCUUCUGGUUCCUUUAUACUGGACGAGCCCCCAGUGUUACCUUUCCUGCCUCGCCUCCAGACCGCAGUCGAGACGGCUCAGGGGAGCCUUCACUUGCUAGCUCCAGGGCCAGAGCAAUUCACGGAUGCUCUGGGGUAAUUCCCACCUUUGUGGAUCUUAUCCGCUGCUAAUGACGAGUUAGUCUGGAAUUCCACUUAAGUAGUUGACAUUUAUUAUACUUGUACACCAUGUGAGGUAGUCUGAACGACAAAAUAAAAUAGUGGGCAAAUGGAGCAAAAAGCGCGUAGCUCACAGUUUGGUUACAUCUCCGCCACCACAACAACUGGGUCAAAAACAAAAGUUAAAUU
rnacentral:lncRNA from 1 species